rnacentral:rRNA from 1 species
UGGGAAUCUGCCCUUGGGUUCGGGAUAACAGUUGGAAACGACUGCUAAUACCGGAUGAUGACUUCGGUCCAAAGAUUUAUCGCCCAGGGAUGAGCCCGCGUAAGGUUAGCUAGUUGGUGGGGUAAAGGCCUACCAAGGCGACGAUCCGUAGCUGGUCUGAGAGGAUGAUCAGCCACACUGGGACUGAGACACGGCCCAGACUCCUACGGGAGGCAG